GACAGAGGGUGCAAGCGUUGUUCGGAAUCAUUGGGCGUAAAGGGCGCGUAGGCGGUCUUGUAAGUCGGAUGUGAAAGCCCAGGGCUCAACCGUGGAAGUGCAUCCGAAACUGUGAGACUUGAGUCCCGGAGAGGGUGGUGGAAUUCCCAGUGUAGAGGUGAAAUUCGUAGAUAUUGGGAGGAACACCGGUGGCGAAGGCGACCACCUGGACGGAGACUGACGCUGAGGCGCGAGAGCGUGGGAGCAAACAGG
rnacentral:rRNA from 1 species